rnacentral:rRNA from 1 species
CCUACGGGAGGCAGCAGUGGGGAAUUUUGGACAAUGGGCGCAAGCCUGAUCCAGCAAUGCCGCGUGAGUGAAGAAGGCCUUCGGGUUGUAAAGCUCUUUUGUCAGGGAAGAAACGGUCUACUCUAAUACAGUGGGCUAAUGACGGUACCUGAAGAAUAAGCACCGGCUAACUACGUGCCAGCAGCCGCGGUAAUACGUAGGGUGCAAGCGUUAAUCGGAAUUACUGGGCGUAAAGCGUGCGCAGGCGGUUAUAUAAGUCAGAUGUGAAAUCCCCGGGCUCAACCUGGGAACUGCAUUUGAGACUGUAUGGCUAGAGUGUGUCAGAGGGGGGUAGAAUUCCACGUGUAGCAGUGAAAUGCGUAGAUAUGUGGAGGAAUACCGAUGGCGAAGGCAGCCCCCUGGGAUAACACUGACGCUCAUGCACGAAAGCGUGGGGAGCAAACAGGAUUAGAUACCCUGGUAGUCCACGACCAACCGAUAGUCUACUAGUUGUUCGGUACGUUAAUUAGUUCUUGUACGUACGACGACGUACGACGUCGAAGUAAGAACCGGCCGUCGGGUAAGGUACGGUACGGUUCGAAGAAGUUAAACUUAACUAAAGAAAGUUAGUUAGGCGNGAGACGNGCGACGGACGACGACGAGGGAGGAGG